rnacentral:rRNA from 1 species
UGGGGAAUAUUGGACAAUGGGCGAAAGCCUGAUCCAGCCAUGCCGCGUGUGUGAAGAAGGUCUUCGGAUUGUAAAGCACUUUAAGUUGGGAGGAAGGGCAGUAAGCGAAUACCUUGCUGUUUUGACGUUACCGACAGAAUAAGCACCGGCUAACUCUGUGCCAGCAGCCGCGGUAAUACAGAGGGUGCAAGCGUUAAUCGGAAUUACUGGGCGUAAAGCGCGCGUAGGUGGUUCGUUAAGUUGAAUGUGAAAGCCCAGGGCUCAACCUGGGAACUGCAUACAAAACUGGCGAGCUAGAGGAGGGCAGAGGGGGGUGGAAGUUCCUGUGUAGCGGGGAAAUGCGUAGAUAUAGGAAGGGAAACCAGUGGGGAAAGAGACCACCUUGGCUCAUACUGACACUGAGGUGGGAAAGCGUGGGGAGGAAACAAG